rnacentral:rRNA from 1 species
GGGUUGUGAGGUUAAGCGACUAAGCGUACACGGUGGAUGCCCUGGCAGUCAGAGGCGAUGAAGGACGUGCUAAUCUGCGAUAAGCGUCGGUAAGGUGAUAUGAACCGUUAUAACCGGCGAUUUCCGAAUGGGGAAACCCAGUGUGUUUCGACACACUAUCAUUAACUGAAUCCAUAGGUUAAUGAGGCGAACCGGGGGAACUGAAACAUCUAAGUACCCCGAGGAAAAGAAAUCAACCGAGAUUCCCCCAGUAGCGGCGAGCGAACGGGGAGCAGCCCAGAGCCUGAAUCAGUGUGUGUGUUAGUGGAAGCGUCUGGAAAGGCGCGCGAUACAGGGUGACAGCCCCGUACACAAAAAUGCACAUGCUGUGAGCUCGAUGAGUAGGGCGGGACACGUGGUAUCCUGUCUGAAUAUGGGGGGACCAUCCUCCAAGGCUAAAUACUCCUGACUGACCGAUAGUGAACCAGUACCGUGAGGGAAAGGCGAAAAGAACCCCGGCGAGGGGAGUGAAAAAGAACCUGAAACCGUGUACGUACAAGCAGUGGGAGCACGCUUAGGCGUGUGACUGCGUACCUUUUGUAUAAUGGGUCAGCGACUUAUAUUCUGUAGCAAGGUUAACCGAAUAGGGGAGCCGAAGGGAAACCGAGUCUUAACUGGGCGUUAAGUUGCAGGGUAUAGACCCGAAACCCGGUGAUCUAGCCAUGGGCAGGUUGAAGGUUGGGUAACACUAACUGGAGGACCGAACCGACUAAUGUUGAAAAAUUAGCGGAUGACUUGUGGCUGGGGGUGAAAGGCCAAUCAAACCGGGAGAUAGCUGGUUCUCCCCGAAAGCUAUUUAGGUAGCGCCUCGUGAAUUCAUCUCCGGGGGUAGAGCACUGUUUCGGCAAGGGGGUCAUCCCGACUUACCAACCCGAUGCAAACUGCGAAUACCGGAGAAUGUUAUCACGGGAGACACACGGCGGGUGCUAACGUCCGUCGUGAAGAGGGAAACAACCCAGACCGCCAGCUAAGGUCCCAAAGUCAUGGUUAAGUGGGAAACGAUGUGGGAAGGCCCAGACAGCCAGGAUGUUGGCUUAGAAGCAGCCAUCAUUUAAAGAAAGCGUAAUAGCUCACUGGUCGAGUCGGCCUGCGCGGAAGAUGUAACGGGGCUAAACCAUGCACCGAAGCUGCGGCAGCGACGCUUAUGCGUUGUUGGGUAGGGGAGCGUUCUGUAAGCCUGCGAAGGUGUGCUGUGAGGCAUGCUGGAGGUAUCAGAAGUGCGAAUGCUGACAUAAGUAACGAUAAAGCGGGUGAAAAGCCCGCUCGCCGGAAGACCAAGGGUUCCUGUCCAACGUUAAUCGGGGCAGGGUGAGUCGACCCCUAAGGCGAGGCCGAAAGGCGUAGUCGAUGGGAAACAGGUUAAUAUUCCUGUACUUGGUGUUACUGCGAAGGGGGGACGGAGAAGGCUAUGUUGGCCGGGCGACGGUUGUCCCGGUUUAAGCGUGUAGGCUGGUUUUCCAGGCAAAUCCGGAAAAUCAAGGCUGAGGCGUGAUGACGAGGCACUACGGUGCUGAAGCAACAAAUGCCCUGCUUCCAGGAAAAGCCUCUAAGCAUCAGGUAACAUCAAAUCGUACCCCAAACCGACACAGGUGGUCAGGUAGAGAAUACCAAGGCGCUUGAGAGAACUCGGGUGAAGGAACUAGGCAAAAUGGUGCCGUAACUUCGGGAGAAGGCACGCUGAUAUGUAGGUGAAGUCCCUCGCGGAUGGAGCUGAAAUCAGUCGAAGAUACCAGCUGGCUGCAACUGUUUAUUAAAAACACAGCACUGUGCAAACACGAAAGUGGACGUAUACGGUGUGACGCCUGCCCGGUGCCGGAAGGUUAAUUGAUGGGGUCAGCGCAAGCGAAGCUCUUGAUCGAAGCCCCGGUAAACGGCGGCCGUAACUAUAACGGUCCUAAGGUAGCGAAAUUCCUUGUCGGGUAAGUUCCGACCUGCACGAAUGGCGUAAUGAUGGCCAGGCUGUCUCCACCCGAGACUCAGUGAAAUUGAACUCGCUGUGAAGAUGCAGUGUACCCGCGGCAAGACGGAAAGACCCCGUGAACCUUUACUAUAGCUUGACACUGAACAUUGAGCCUUGAUGUGUAGGAUAGGUGGGAGGCUU